rnacentral:rRNA from 1 species
AUUGAACGCUGGCGGCAUGCUUUACACAUGCAAGUCGAACGGCAGCACGGGUGCUUGCACCUGGUGGCGAGUGGCGGACGGGUGAGUAAUGCAUCGGAACGUGUCCUUAAGUGGGGGAUAACGCAUCGAAAGAUGUGCUAAUACCGCAUAAACUCUAAGGAGAAAAGCAGGGGAUCGUAAGACCUUGUGCUUUUGGAGCGGCCGAUGCCUGAUUAGCUAGUUGGUAAGGUAAAGGCUUACCAAGGCUUCGAUCAGUAGUUGGUCUGAGAGGACGACCAGCCACACUGGGACUGAGACACGGCCCAGACUCCUACGGGAGGCAGCAGUGGGGAAUAUUGCACAAUGGGGGAAACCCUGAUGCAGCAACGCCGCGUGAGCGAAGAAGGCUUUCGAGUCGUAAAGCUCUGUCCUAAGGGAAGAAUAAUGACGGUACCUUAGGAGGAAGCCCCGGCUAACUACGUGCCAGCAGCCGCGGUAAUACGUAGGGGGCAAGCGUUAUCCGGAAUCACUGGGCGUAAAGGGUGCGUAGGCGGCUAAUCAAGCCAGGGGUGAAAGGCUACGGCUUAACCGUAGUAAGCCUUUGGAACUGAAUAGCUUGAGUGCAGGAGAGGAGAGUGGAAUUCCUAGU